ensembl:lncRNA
ACACUUAGUAAUACACUAUUAACAUGCUUCAUUUUUAGUAUACUUUAAUUUCACUUCAUUAGAAGUUUAUUUAAGUAUAUUCAUACAUCAUCACAACCAAAGUGUUGAAUUAAUCAAAAAAAUACAGAUAAAUAAUACUGAAAUGGCUACUUUUACUAGCUCCAACGACUAACUAUUAAAGAAAAUCCAAGGCUAUAACCAAAAUUUGAAAAUAGCAAGUUUAUAACGGCCAUCCAAUCAGUGUGCGGCUGCAAAUCGACGUCCAAUGAGAAUGUAGUAUUUAGGUCGCCAAUUGGUGGUUUACUCAAAUACACUUGGCGCGGACGGUUAGUGUUCCAUUUGAAAUUGAGCAGUGAGCACCUAAUAUCUCCGGGUCAAACAAUGACAGUGUUUGGGAAGACCUCGAGUCGGAGCAGGGCUGGAUAGAGGUAAUUUGGCCUACACAACGGCGACAACAAGAGGCGAAGCCUAUUGCAGCCAAAUUGCUUUUCUUUGGAGACACGGUGAGGGAGAAAUUCCCCAACACCAUGGUUAGUGAGAUCCGGGCCCUGCUGCGGAGGAAAUGCAAUAAUGAGGGCUACACCAAGGUUGCUCCUCAGUAGCUUUAUUAUAUAUGUUAUAUAUGUCAGAUGUUUUAAAGUUAGGUGUUAUUGAAUGUAUGUUUGUAUUAAUAUUUAAAUUAAAGUUUUGGUUUGUACAA